UACGGAGGGGGCUAGCGUUGUUCGGAAUUACUGGGCGUAAAGCGCACGUAGGCGGCUUUGUAAGUUAGAGGUGAAAGCCCGGAGCUCAACUCCGGAACUGCCUUUAAGACUGCAUCGCUUGAAUCAUGGAGAGGUCAGUGGAAUUCCGAGUGUAGAGGUGAAAUUCGUAGAUAUUCGGAAGAACACCAGUGGCGAAGGCGACUGACUGGACAUGUAUUGACGCUGAGGUGCGAAAGCGUGGGGAGCAAACACGG
rnacentral:rRNA from 1 species